rnacentral:lncRNA from 1 species
AGAUGAAACCCAAGAUGCAAUUUCGUAGCACAGCGAGCAGUCUCGUAUGUGGAACCCGGGGAAUGGCAGCGCCGGGGCCCGAGAGCGCGGUCCAAAACCGCUACAGGACGAGCUUCGGUCGCCAGCGGAUGAGUGCAGCCUUGACCCAUGUGCUGAGCUGUUGGGCCGCUUGAUUGAAGCGCACCACACUUGAGAACAUCAGCGCCUUGCAUCCAUUGAAAUAAUAAGCUGACCCAGAGAGCUGCUCGCCUUUGAGCUGCAGCCAAGCCAUCUGAAUCCACUCUGCCCAAAUGAGGGCUUAUUUUCAAAGCGUCUCUCUCAUGUGCGCUGGCCCGGCCCCGCGCCCACGUUUAUGCGCGCACGCGCGCAAGCUAGCGGGCUAGCGAGCGCCCGGGCGUCGAAGGCCGCGCUGGAAACGGCGCAGAUCACGUCUGUGGCUAAACUGUUUGUUUGGUGAGUCACGCGUUCUCGGAGAGCUGUGUUUUCACAGUUUGGCCAAGUCGGUGUUGUUCUUUCCAGUUGUUCUCCCCGAGUUUUUGUUUGGUGUUUGUUCAUAAUCUUUAAGUCAACAUUUCGCUGGUGUCUCAUCUAGAAUAUCACACAUGGAAAACUCAGCCGAAACAAGAUGAGAUACAAACCAGUUGUUGCUAGAAGUCAUUUAAAAGUUUUUUUCUUACUGAAUAGAGAAUAGAGUUCUCACUGCUUUAAAAACUAACUAACCUACACAAUCUACAGCUAUUUGGAAUGUGAACGUCUGGCUUAUCUGGAAAUGAUUACCUGCAUGAAGAGAGACCAUGCUGCCGCACCACAAAGUAGCAUAAAUACACCAGUGUAUCAUAUUCUGGUGGCCAUUUUAAGAGACAUUACAAUGAUGAAGGCGCAGUCACCUAAUACUGCUCUGGAGCUUCAUCCAAGGAAAUCGCAUUAAAGAAACCUUCACCAUUUCAUUGGAACUUUAAUAGAAAAACCCCAGGUUCCGUGUUGGACUCGGUGUGUGAGUAGAAGCGUCUCCUGCAUCAACCUGCAGACAAUUAAAGAAAAAUGCCAGAUAAUGUACGACUGUUUAUUUAUUUGAGAAUAUAAACGUAAACAUUUUGUUGAGAUGAAAACAGUAAAAUUGAG